ACUCAAAAUUUUAACAUCAUAUAAUCCUUCACUAAGUUGUUCUUCAACAGUAACUAAAACUAAUUCUACCAGCAAAGAAACUAAUUCCACAAAAUUUCUAAGCUGUAAAAGUACUACUUGUAUGUGUUCUGAAUAAAUGUCAAUAGCUCCUCCAACAGGCUCGAUCAACUCAUAUGCAUGUUUUUUUCUUCUCAUUGUCGGAUGAAUACUCUUGCCAAAUUAAUAGUAAUCUUGAUAAUUAGCACACAAAUAUAUGACACAAGACGAGAAAAAUUACGAACACAACUAGUUAAAUGAAAAAAGUUUAAGAAAGGCAUGAAACAGAGGUACCUGAGUGGCUAAGAAAUUAGAAAUUGCGAGAUUUUGCUGCAGCUUACAAGUCACGAGUAAAAGAUUUGGUUUUCCUUUCCUAAUCCAAAUCAAUACAAGAAAUUGAAGUGUGAGAAGGAGAUACGUAAUGAGGAUUAACUUCACGAAGUGAACAAUCUAACAAGACUACAAACAGAUGGGAUUUACGUUGAUGAGGAGGUUCAUGUAAUCGGGAAAAUCACAUUACCUUCAUGCACUAAGUACACCCAGCAGCCGAAAAUCACAAUUAGCCAACGCGGACGAGAGGCCGUUGACCUUGGCAUGGCUGAUUGUUGCUAAUUGGGAAAGAGAAAAAGUAGCACCCGAGUAGAUCACGCGCGUGCGGCAAGCAGAAUUAGUCAUUCUUUUACCACCUUUUUUUAUUUUUUUAGAAUCAAUCGAUCUGUUACAUGGGCUAUCCAUCACGUACUUAUAUAGAGGAAACAAGCCAUCGGGGGCCCUUCAUACUCGGAGGCCCGGGGCGGCCGCCCCCUCUGCCCCCCUCAGGGUCGGCCCUGCGGCCGCAACAACCACGAAGCAGACAGUUCAAGCAGAUUCCUUUACAGGCAUGAAUCAUACGAAACCAGGAUUUAUCCCUUACCUCUCCGUUACCAGCGUGAUCUAUUUCCCUUACCGUUUACGUUACCACUCUCUAAUCCAAACACCUCCCAGGUGCUAAUAAUUUCAAUGAGAAGUAGCUCAAGUCAAUAUAGUGUGUAUCGAGGUUGAGUCUACUAUAGGGUCGUGGCCCUGUCACAUUCACUUUUGUCUUCUCAUCAUACAAACCCAAGGGUAAAAAAGACUUUUCAUGUGGACCUAGAGGUGUUAGUGGCUAAACCUGAUGAAAAUGUCAUGUAGGGAACAAAAUAAA
rnacentral:lncRNA from 1 species